AGUGGGCAAUACUAAUAAAUUGGUAACGUGCGACUAUUCGUUUCUAAAUAAAAACCCACUGUUAUUAGCCUAUUAUCACUCAUCUUCUUCCUCAUCUUGGGUUUCUUUUCCUCUUCUCGCGUCUCUCUAUUCUUCCAAGUUCCGACUGUAGAUUGCUAAAAAAGAAUUCAAGGAUCCCAGAAAGACCUUCGUAUGAUUUCUUAUUGUUCACCAGCCUACUAUCGGACUCAUAAGUGAAAAUUAUUUUAUGAAUUUGGGAUUUGUGCUGAUGUAUUGUUCGAAGGAGCUGCAAUGAUUUGAUCCAAGGCCUGGGUAUUAAUUUCAUCUCUUCUCCAAAAUCCCAAUGGAGUGUUUCGCGUUUUAUAAUACAAAUCUAGAGCUGGGGAUCGUCUGAGUCUGAAAAAUUGGGGCAUAUACCCUUCUUCUUAGUAGGAAAAGCCUCAAGUGCACACUCCGAAUAUUCUCAACAACUAUUCCGUCUGCUUGAUGCAAUUUAGGGUGCUACGUCUAAGGAUAAGACAUAUAAGUAUUGUAUUGAUUACCUUAGUGGAGGGCAAUGAGAAACUCAAGAAAGGCCUCAAACCGGCAGUUAAAAACAUGUUUCGUUUGAUUUCAUAGAAGAAAUAUAUAUCGGGGAACCAAUGUGUGGAAUACUGGAGUGCCUCAACGACAGCUCAAUGACUUUGUGUUGUUGUCUUAUUCAGUACAAAUUCAGGUUUCAGGUGCACUAUGAAUUUUCUUCUAUACAAACAUAAUAACCAGGGAGAUCUACAGUUUGGCCUUGGCCCAAGAUGAAGAAAACUUUAUAAAGUAGAAUCCGUGACUAUCCCGGAGCUUUCCAUUUAGACGUACUUCCAUCAUCUACCUCAUGUCACUAAUUUAUAGUUUUUCUUAAUUAUUUCACUCCAGCUACGAAGUAAGGGAUCCAUUGACCGCUGCUUAUGAAAGGUCGGUAAAUAGACCAAUAUUUUCUCAUCUGUCACUGGCAUUGUCCUCUGCCAGAACCACUGACGUUUCCUCCUAUUUUUGGCAAUGGAGUGGGUCAACAUGGGGAAGUGUUAGGAAGCCCAAUUCCAGGGUCCCAGCCGGGAAGGAGUUCACUUCAUUCAUUUGGUUCCCAUGGUAGCAAGACUACCGUCUAGCAAUGUUGUCUCGCCAUCCAUAGAUAAAAGUCCGAGUAACUUUCGAAAAUUUGGGAGGGAUAGAGGAGCUGUGGGGAUAGGUUUACUUCGGGACUGGGGUUUUAGGAAGGAAGAAGUAGAUUCACCGCCAAAACUAUGCAUAGUGUUGAAUUAAUUACUCAUUUUUCUUAUUACUUCUUUUGGGCAUACUUCACUGUCAAGACUCUAUUAUGAUUCACAUUACAUUUUUUCGAGGCCACUUAAAGCCAGCCUUCUCUAUAGCCAUAUCUUUUCCGUUGGGAGGUAAUGCCAAAAAAUGGGGAUGUUGUGCUGGAUGUUGGAAAAAUACUAGUGGACACAAAUUUAAAUUGUCAGGUGUUUAGACAUUUUUCUCAUAGACCAACAACAACUAUGCUUCAGCCAUAGCCGCGAAAAAUGUAUGUUAAUGGGGGAAUUUUUUUAGGUGCCUAUGUUGUUUGUAUUUAGCUGAUGUUCACCCAGUGAUUUACCCAUGCACCUUUGUAUUUCAUUGUGAAUGCAAAAGAUAU